rnacentral:rRNA from 1 species
CCUAUGGGUGGCCGCAGUGAGGAAUAUUGGUCAAUGGGCGCAAGCCUGAACCAGCCAAGUCGCGAGAGGGAUGACGGUCCUAUGGAUUGUAAACCUCAUUUGUCGGGGAGCAAGGCCCGCCACGUGUGGCGGGAAGGAGAGUACCCGAAGAAAAAGCAUCGGCUAACGCCGUGCCAGCAGCCGCGGUAAUACGGAGGAUGCGAGAGUUAUCCGGAUUUAUUGGGUGUAAAGGGUGCGUAGGCGGAAGGUUAAGUCAGCGGUCAAAUGUCGGUGCUCAAAACCGGCCUGCCGUUGAAAAUGGUCUUGUUGAGGGAGCGAGAAGUAUGCGGAAUGCGUGGUGUAGCGGUGAAAU